GGAGGAUGCUGAUGGUACUACGAGGAGGAUGCUGAUGGUGCUGAGGAGGAUGCUGAUGGCGUUACGAGGUGGAUGCUGAUGAAGCAACGAGAGAUGCUGAUGGAGCGACGAAGAGGCUGCUGAUGGAGCGACGAAGAGAGGAUGCUGACGGAGACAGGAAGCAUGCUGAUGGAGAACAAGAUGAAAAACAAGAUGAGAUUUUUAAGAAAUCUUGGAUUUUGAGAGAGCAUAUAUACUCUGUUGAAUUCGGCGUAUUCUUACUAAGUCAGAGAGUUCCCUCGCUCUCUGACUUAGAAAACGAAUUUUGUGGUAAAGUAUUUCAAAGUAGGCUCCUGCCACCUAUUUUGGAAUAAUGUUGUACAAAUUUCUAUUAAGUAAUGAUUUUAGAAUAAUGUUGUUUGAAAAGCAUUUAUGCCGUGAUGAAUAAAUAACAUCCAUCGGUAGUUUUGAAACGACUGUCAGCUUAAAAUAUGCAUAUGUAUUUAAAUUAAACAUGGUCACCAUGCCAGCAAGUGUCAGCGUUUGAUAAAUGUUUUUCGAAAUACGCUUUUCAAUGCAAUAUGGAAAUUUGUCAUCAUAACGUGCACAAAAUCGCUGUUUCGUAAUAAUAUAUACGCAAUUUUAACAAAUA